GACGAACGCUGGCGGCGUGCUUAACACAUGCAAGUCGAACGGUAAGGCCCUUCUUUUUUGGGGUGCUCGAGUGGCGAACGGGUGAUUCACACGUGAGUAACCUGCCCUUGACUUUAGGAUAACUUCAGGAAACUUGGUCUAAUACCGGAUAGGAGCUCCUGCUGCAUGGUUGUGGUUGGAUCGUUUCGGCGGUUGGGGCUGGACUCGCGGCUUAUCAGCUUGUUGGUGGGGUAGUGGCUGACCAAGGCUUGGACGGGUAGUCGGCAUGUGAGGGUGGACGGCGACAAGGGGACUGAGAGACGGACCAGACUCGUACGGGAGGCAGCAGGGGGGAAUAUGACACAAUGAGCGGAAGUCUGAGGCAGCAACGCCGGGUGCGGGAUGACGGCCUUCGGGUUGUAAACCGCUUUCGCCUAUGAAGAAGCGGGAGUGACGGUAAUGGAUAAAGAAGCACCGGCUAACUACGUG
rnacentral:rRNA from 1 species